GACAAUCUGGUUGAUCCUGCCAGUAGUCAUAUGCUUGUCUCAAAGAUUAAGCCAUGCAUGUCUAAGUAUAAGCGAGUAUACAGUGAAACUGCGAAUGGCUCAUUAAAUCAGUUAUGGUUUAUUUGAUGGUACCUUACUACUUGGAUACCCGUAGUAAUUCUAGAGCUAAUACAUGCAGGAGUUCGUGCGCGGUUCGUCCGCGCCGCGAUGUAUUUAUUAGAUAAGAGACCAACCCGCCUUGUGCGGUUGCGUGCCGAGUCAUAAUAACUGUUCGAAUCGCAUGGCUCUGACGCCGGCGAUGGUUCAUUCAAGUUUCUGCCCUAUCAGCUUUCGAUGGUAGGAUAGAGGCCUACCAUGGCGUUAACGGGUAACGGGGAAUUAGGGUUCGAUUCCGGAGAGGGAGCCUGAGAGAUGGCUACCACAUCCAAGGAAGGCAGCAGGCGCGUAAAUUGCCCGAAUCCUGACACAGGGAGGUAGUGACAAGAAAUAACAAUACAGGGCCAUCUUGGUCUUGUACUUGGAAUGAGUACAAUUUACAUCUCUUCACGAGGAUCAAUUGGAGGGCAAGUCUGGUGCCAGCAGCCGCGGUAAUUCCAGCUCCAAUAGCGUAUAUUAAAGUUGUUGCAGUUAAAACGCUCGUAGUCGGAUUUCGGGUCGGUUGCGCCGGUCUGCCGAUGGGUAUGCACUGGCGGAGUCGUCCUUUCUUCCGGAGACCGGGCCUCCUCUUAGCUGAGCGGGUUCGGGAGACGGAUCGUUUACUUUGAAAAAAUCAGAGUGUUUCAAGCAGGCAGCUCGCUCUUGCAUGGAUUAGCAUGGGAUAAUGAAAUAGGACUCUGGUGCUAUUUUGUUGGUUUCGAACACCGGAGUAAUGGUCAACAGGGACAGUCAGGGGCACUCGUAUUCCGCCGAGAGAGGUGAAAUUCUCAGACCAGCGGAAGACGAACCACUGCGAAAGCAUUUGCCAGGGAUGUUUUCACUGAUCAAGAACGAAAGUUAGGGGAUCGAAGACGAUCAGAUACCGUCGUAGUCUUAACCAUAAACCAUGCCGACUAGG
rnacentral:rRNA from 1 species